rnacentral:piRNA from 1 species
CGGGAUUAUGACUCUAAAC